rnacentral:rRNA from 1 species
CAAUAGCGUAUAUUUAAGUUGCUGCAGUUAAAAAGCUCGUAGUUGGAUUUCGGGUGGGAAUGGCCGGUCCGCCGUUUCGGUGUGCACUUGCUACGCCCACCUUGCUGCCGGGGACGUGCUCUUGAGUUCACGCUCGGGACACGGAGUCGGCGAGGUUACUUUGAGUAAAUUAGAGUGUUCAAAGCAGGCCUACGCUCUGAAUACAUUAGCAUGGAAUAACACGAUAGGACUCUGGCCUAUCUUGUUGGUCUGUAGGACCGGAGUAAUGAUUAAGGGGGACAGUCGGGGGCAUUCGUAUUUCAUUGUCAGAGGUGAAAUUCUUGGAUUUAUGAAAGACGAACUACUGCGAAAGCAUUUGCCAAGGAUGCUUUCAUUAA